rnacentral:tRNA from 3 species
GCCUCAGUGGUCUAGUAGUAUGAUUCGCCCUUCGGGUGGGUGAGGUCCUGGGUUCAAUUCCCAGCUGGGGCC